CACAGCCAUGCAUUCAUCAGGUGGAUGCCGCUUUGGUGGUUGUUCGUGUAAUCGUGUGCGUGUGGCACAUGCAUGCACUGUCAUGUCCACCGUAUCAUGACUAUCCUAAACUAAUCCUCAUCCUGAUCCAAUCCAAAAACCUGCUUGCAGUGGCUAGUAGCUAGCUAGCUAGCUCUACAAAUACUGUACCCGGCCGUGCUUAUUAGCCAGCAGUACAAGCUAGCAGUUACGGUCAUCAAGGAGUUCUUCACAUAUCACUCGGCAUUACCAUUAUCUGAGGUACCUUGACCGCCGCCGCCGACGACGAUGAGCUCCUCGGCGGAAGCGGAGCGCGGCGGCGCCAAGAAGCAGUCAUGGCCAGAGGUGGUCGGACUGAGCGUGGAGGAGGCCAAGAAGGUUAUCCUCAAAGAUAAGCCCGAUGCAGACAUUUUCGUGCUGCCCGUCGGAUCGCCGGUGACCAGGGAUUUCCGUCCGAACCGUGUCCGCAUCUUCGUCGACACCGUCGCCGAGACGCCCCGUGUCGGCUAGCCGAUGCUUUCGUGCUCUUCAGAAACUGAAUAAUUCAGAACGUCUUGCAGAUAGAUCUCCAUAUAUAUGGCAAGAUGAUCAAAUAAUGCAUCUUUUCUGUAUGGAUCCAGACGUGGGUUUCCUAUAAUAAUUAAUUAAAUAAGCAAGGGCACUGACUACUGUUCGCUUGUCUUAUAAAUUGUAUUCUUUUUUACUAA